GGGGAUUUAGCUCAGUGGUGUAAGCGCCUGCCUUGUAAGCACGCAGUUGUGAGUUCGAUCCCCG
rfam:Cavia porcellus supercont2_16 genomic scaffold, whole genome shotgun sequence.